rnacentral:rRNA from 1 species
UACGAAGGGGGCUAGCGUUGUUCGGAGUUACUGGGCGUAAAGGGCGCGUAGGCGGCUGUCCAAGUCGGGUGUGAAAGCCCAGGGCUCAACCCUGGAUGUGCACUCGAGACUGGCCGGCUAGAGGAUGGGAGAGGAUGGUGGAAUUCCCAGUGUAGAGGUGAAAUUCGUAGAUAUUGGGAAGAACACCGGUGGCGAAGGCGGCCAUCUGGACCAUUUCUGACGCUGAGGCGCGAAAGCGUGGGGAGCAAACAGG